AUUGAACGCUGGCGGCAUGCCUUACACAUGCAAGUCGAACGGCAGCACGGGGCAACCUGGUGGCGAGUGGCGAACGGGUGAGUAAUGCAUCGGAACGUACCUUUCAGUGGGGGAUAAAGUAUCGAAAGUUAUGCUAAUACCGCAUAUUAUGCGAGCAGGAAAGCGGGGGAACGCAAGAUCUUGCGCGGAUUGCGGGGGCGAUGUCAGAUUAGCUAGUUGGUGAGGUAAAGGCUCACCAAGGCGACGAUCUGUAGCGGGUAUGAGAGGAUGAUCCGCCACACUGGAACUGAGACACGGUCCAGACUCCUACGGGAGGCAGCAGUGGGGAAUUUUGGACAAUGGGGGCAACCCUGAUCCAGCCAUGCCGCGUGAGUGAAGAAGGCCUUCGGGUUGUAAAGCUCUUUCGGCCGGGAAGAAAUCGUAUCAGCUAAUACCUGGUGCGGAUGACGGUACCGGCAUAAGAAGCACCGGCUAACUACGUGCCAGCCGCCGCGGUAAAAC
rnacentral:rRNA from 1 species